AGCGAACGCUGGCGGCAGGCCUAACACAUGCAAGUCGAACGAACCUUUCGGGGUUAGUGGCGGACGGGUGAGUAACACGUGGGAACGUGCCUUUAGGUUCGGAAUAACUCAGGGAAACUUGUGCUAAUACCGAAUGUGCCCUUCGGGGGAAAGAUUAAUCGCCUUUAGAGCGGCCCGCGUCUGAUUAGCUAGUUGGUUGAGGUAAUGGUUCACCAAGGCGACGAUCAGUAGCUGGUCUGAGAGGAGGAUCAGCCACAUUGGGACUGAGACACGGCCCAAACUCCUACGGGAGGCGGCAGUGGGGGAUCUUGCGCAAUGGGCGAAAGCCUGACGCAGCCAUGCCGCGUGAAUGAUGAAGGUCUGAGGAUUGUAAAAUUCUUUCACCGGGGACGAUAAUGAUGGUACCCGGAGAAGAAGCCCCGGCUAACUUCGUG
rnacentral:rRNA from 1 species